ACUACUGAGAAGUGAUGCAGUUAAUCCUGUUCCUUUUCUAAAGCGGACUCCUGGCGAAACAAUGUACUAUAUAUCAUUGCCUGGAAGCGUCAGAUGCAGGAAGCUCCUAUCUAAACUGGACAACUGUCCCUUCGAAGAACAAACAGAACAGCUGAAGAGAGAAAUAUGUUACUUUGUACUGUAUCCUGACUAUAUUGAGCAAAAUAUACAUGCUGUAAGAUUCGAUUGUUAUACCAAAUGAGACUCUGAGACUGACUGGCCUGUUACCCAACACUUGCAGACAUUGAUUCUACUUCUGGAACUCUAAUAUGGAAUCACCCUUCAGUAUGGAUGCCAGGAGUCACAGAGACAUGCAGUCCAGUUAUGUACACCUGAACAAUUGUCUUCCUUUUACAUUUCACAUACUUCUUUUAAAUGAACCAUUGUAAGCCUGCCAUAACUAACCUAUGCUUUGCUCAAUAAAAGUACUGCCAUUCAUCUUG
rnacentral:lncRNA from 1 species